rnacentral:lncRNA from 1 species
UAUCCACUUUUGUCUAACAUCUUCAGAGGCAUAUAAAGGAGAUGACACUGGAAAACACAGGAAUCCUACCCAAAUUAGGUUACCCCUGGAAAGACCUGAAGCAAUAAUUGAGACAUGGUUAUAGGUCUAGUCAACUGGUAGUGCCCUGGUAUUAUCACUCUAAGUUAAAACAAACACGUGUUAGAAAGGACACCUCCAUGUAUUCCUUUGUAGAAAGUCUUCUGCAUUGUUUAUGGGAUGAAUUAACAGUAGGUGUGCAGUAUGUUUUGGGGAGUUGAUUCAGUGGAUGAGCAAAUUCUUGAGACUUGUUUCCUCUAAGAGUUUUAGAAAGUCAGUGGUAAAAUUGGUACGAACUAUACAGCAUUGCCUGUUCAGUAUUGCUCCACUAAAAGUGGGCAUAUGUGUCUUCCAGUUGAGGUUCUUCAGACAAGGGUUUGCAGGCACUAGAGACCUAGAAAGUAUAAUUAUCUGGAAUUGGAACUAAAAUUCUAGGGCUGAAGACACAGAGCUGUUGAAAAUCCAUCCAUUUUGAAAGAUAAAGAUGAUAUUUAGGCCUUGGCCAUCCAGUAAUAUUGAGCAAGAGGUUUGCAGGAAGUUCUAGUGAUAACUAGCUGUAAAAAUGUGUUGCUUUGCUUCAUAGACUGGUGCAAGAAAUGUAGUAGAUGCAACUUGUAGGGUAGUGGAUUUUCAAGAUCUAAAGCACACAUAAGAAAAAAAAGAAACAAAACAAAAACCUAUGCCCACCAUCAUGAUCUUCUGAUCAUUUGGUCAUAAUGUUUGUUGGCAGAGUAAGGAAGCGAAAUGGCAGUAGUGAAAAGAAGCAAAACUGUGACCAGCUUGAGGAAGUGGUAAGUGCAUCAUAGAUGUUUAGCUAAUAUUUGUCAGUGGGAAGGGUUAGGCAUCCCUAUGGUUUGGGAAGUUCUGAGGAUUUAGUAAAUAUGUACUGAACAAUUUAUGCAUUUACAUGAAUAUCACUCUUUCAAACCUUGGGAUGUUUCAUAAUUUUUUGGAUUUUAUUAUUAUUUUCUAGACUAUUUUAGAAAAGUUAGGCAUGCUGAUAAGCACUACUUUUAAAAGUGGACAGUGAUCCUUCAUUUUACAUUAUAAAUUGUAUUUAUUCACCAGACCUCCAGCUUGCUUUAACCAGUAUGCCUAGGAAUGGCUUUUUCUCUUCCUUAAUAGAAACAGUAAUCUAAGCCUGAAAUGUAUUACUCUUUUUAUUGUUUAUAAGUAGCAGAUAAACAUUUUUAAAGCUCCCAGAGUGGCCUUAAGAGUAUGUUUGGCUCAGGGUACACAGAUGGGAAUGGACUUCCAGCUUCUCUAAAUUUAAGUGUUACCUCCUCCAGGGGCUUUCUCUGGUCAUCUAACCUAAAGGGGACCUUCUUCAUAUGUUUUUUUUUUUUUUCAUCUGUCACAAUGGAUACUUACCUAUCACAAUGGAUUCAUGUAUUUCAUUUUGUUUUUUAUCAGUUCUGCUCAAAUUCACACUCAACCUAAGAUUAUAAACUCCUUGAGGGAAAGGGUCAUGGUUCUUUAAAACUGUUUUUCAGAAAAGGGCUUGGCAUAUAGUAGGUGCUCAGUAAACAUGUAAACAAAUGAAUGAAUAGGUUCCAUCCAUCCCAUCAAGAUGAACUGUUGAGUUCAUUCAAGCCAAGCAGGAUGAGCUGUGAAGACAGUGGUUAGUUAAAGGCUGGCUGUGGCAGCUCCGUGAGAAUGACAGCUAGGUCCUCCAGGAGAAGGAAACAGUGCUUGUUUAGGUAACUAUGUCCUGGCAUGAGUAUGAAGCAGUAUGUUUACAUAAAGAGUCCUUCCUGUUCACUUCUGCAAAAAUGAAUAGUAGAGAACAGAGAGGUAGAAGUUAUGAAGCACAAAACAUAGCAUUCCAAAACUGCUAAAAUGGGGUCUAAAAGCACCUAAAUCUUUUUUUUCCAAACAAAUUUAUUUUAUUUUUUAUUUUUUAAAUACUCAAUGAAUUGUAUUACAUUUAUAAUUGUAUAACAAUCAUCACAACCAAAUUUUAUAGCAUUUCCAUCCCAAACCCUCAGGGUAUCCCCUUAUCCCCCAACUUGUCUCAUUUGGAAACUAUAAGUUUUUCAAAGUCUGUGAGUCAGUAUCUGUUCUGCAAAGAAGUUCAUUGUGUCCUUUUUUUAGAUUCCACAUGUCAGUGAUAGCAUUUGAUGUUGGUAUCUCAUUGCCUGAUUGACUUCACUUAGCAUGGUAAUUUCUAGGUCCAUCCAUGUCACUCCAAAAUUGCUGUUAUUGCUUUCCUUUUAAUGGCUGAGUAAUAUUCCAUUGUGUAUACGUACCACCUCUUCUUGAUCCACUCGUCUGUUGAUGGACAUUUAGGUUGUUUCCAUGUCUUGGCUAUUGUAUAGAGUGCUACAAUGAACAUUGGAGUACAUGUGUCUUUUCGAGUCAUGGUUUUCUCUGGGUAGAUGCCCAGGAGAGGGAUUGCUGGAUCAAAUGGUCAUUCUAUUUUUAGUUUUCUGAGGAAUUUCCAUACUGUUUUCCACAGUGAUUGCACCAAUUUACAUUCCCACCAACAGUGUAAUAGGGUUCCUUUUUCUCCACAUCCUCUCCAGCAAUUAUUGUUGGUAGACUUUUUGAUGAUAGCCAUUCUGGCUGGUAAAAGCACCUAAAUCUUAACCAGAUAUAAUUCUUAAUUAAGACAUCUUGGUGAUAAUAUGCAAAGCAAAUCCUAUGAUGCUCCAGGUGAAACUUCCCAACCUCAGCUGGUUUUGCUUUAAAUGUGGGGCCCCUGGACCAGCAGCAUUAGCAUCACCUGAGAACUUGUUAGAAAUGCAAAUUCUCAUACUAUACCCCAAGCUAGCUGAGUCAGAAACUCCAGGGGUGGGGUUCAGCAGUCUGAAUGUCAACAGGCAUCCAGUUGAUUCUAAUGCACAUGCAAUAUUGUCAGGAAAUGUUAAGUCCAUGGCUCAAAGGCUAAGCCUCCUUAGUAUUCCCAAGUGAAUGUCGGGAUGUGUGGAGAGGGUGCCAUCUGCGUGCUCCACCAGAAAUACCAGCAGGAGGUAUAAAACCAGUCUUGGCUUUUUUCAGAUCCUUGUGGGUCAAAAGAGAUCAAAUUGAUAAUGACUGGAUUUCGUAUCCAGGACUACUACAAAAAAGGCUCUGGGGAGUUACCGUUGUGGUUAACUAGUAUCGGUGAGGAUGUGGGUUCGAUCCAUGACCUCGCUCAGUGGAUUAAGAAUCCAGUGUUGCCAUGAGCUGUGGUGUAGGUUGCAGAUGUGGCUCGGAUCCUGCAUUGCUGUGGCUGUGGUGUAGGCUGUAAGCUGUAUCUCCAAUUCAACCCCUAGCCUGAGAACUUACAUGUGCCAUGGGUGCAGCCCU